CAGUCGCCGCGGUAAUACGAAGGGUGCAAGCGUUAAUCGGAAUUACUGGGCGUAAGCGUGCGUAGGCGGUUUGUUAAGUCUGUUGUGAGAUCCCCGGGCUCAACCUGGGAAUGGCAAUGGAUACUGGCAAGCUAGAGUGUGUCAGAGGAUGGUGGAAUUCCCGGUGUAGCGGUGAAAUGCGUAGAGAUCGGGAGGAACAUCAGUGGCGAAGGCGGCCAUCUGGGACAACACUGACGCUGAGGCACGAAAGCGUGGGGAGCAAACAGGAUUAGAUACCCGUGUAGUCCCUGUCUCUUAUACA
rnacentral:rRNA from 1 species